UUGGUCACAAGCCUGAUAGACUCUUGGCUGGACUUGGCUGCUGCUGGACCUUCUCUUCUUGGAUACCUUGAAAUUGGGCCUAGGCUGGCAGAGGUCUCUUCUCCUGCUGUGGGAACCCAGAGGUGGCCUGGUCUGCUCUUGUUUCCUGAGGCCUGUGGAGAUCCCUGCAAGGUUUGUGGGCAGUGUGGAGAAUACGGCUCUGAGGGUGGGCCUGUGCUGCAGCACCAGAGGGGCCUCCUUCCAGGGAGCCGGGAGUGCUGUGUGCUCUGCCUUACCAACUGCCUUAUCCACAGAGAACAGCUGGGCUUCUCUGGGCCUUUUGCAUGGAUUUCUUUGCCUUGAGCAAAAUAUUUGGCUGCUGAGUUAUGAACUAACUCCUUAGACCUGUUUGAGGCACUACAGUGAAGAGCUGCAGGUAAAGGCCUGUAGUCUGAGGAGCAAAUUAUGUUUGUUUUCCAAGUGCCAUGAAGUGCUGCCCCAGAAGUACCACUGCAAGGCAAAGUAUGUGGGGUUGGUGUGCCCUUUCUCUGCUGUAUGUGUGGACUCUGAAAUGGCUUUUAAUUGCAAUGUUUCAUAUCAAGCUUGUGGGGGGAGUCUUGCUGAGGCUGACACAACUCCCAGUUUGACUGAGUUAACUGGCUAAUUGGAGAGACAUGGGAAGAUGUACAUCGAAAGAGAGUAAGAGGCUUCUGAAACAGGAGGUGGAGAAAGAGAACUCCAUUCAAAAUCCAUUACCAGGAGCUUCAGCCAGCCUCAAGCAGUCAUCUGUAAUGCAGCUAAACCAAGCCUGACCUUGGAAGAUCAAAAAAGAAGAGGCUGCGUGUCAAGAGAAGAGAGAAGAGGCGGCGUGUGGAAUGGCGAGGCGAGGAGCGGUGUCGGGCAGAAGAGGGGGCACGAGAAAGGCACCCUGGGCAAAGGGAAUCCCUGUGGGCACAGGGUGAGGUCACGUAAGAGCAUGAUGGCACCUCUGGGGGGCCCUGAGGAACGUUGUGUGCUGGGUGACCUUCCUGUAAGCAGGGCUCAGGUCUUUGCUACUGUUGGUUUUGGCCUUUGGCCGUCUUGCUCCUUUGGCUGCCCGGAGAGCGUGGCAACCCUGUAAGGAGGGUGAGAGCCAGCGUUUCCGCACCCUAGGGGGAAAUAGAGCUCUCUUGGACCCCCAGGCCACCCUGUAAGCAGGGGAGGGCCAUUUCCCUGCCCCUCUCCUCUGCCCCAGCAGCUCUCUGCCUGCUGGUGGCCUACCCAGCGUGACCCCCUGUUGUCAGGGCGUGUCACAGCAUUUGGCCUUUGGCCUGUUGAAGCUCUCUGGCUUCCAUGCAGCCCUGGGCAUGGUCUGAGGCUCUCCUCUCUUGCUUGGUGAGUAGGGUGACUCCCCGGACAGUGGCUGCACAGAGACCGUCUCCCUUUUUGGGACGUUUUGUUUUGUGUUUGUCUUGUCCUUGUCUAUCAAUGUGAGGGAGUGAGUGAGCUUGUCCUUUAGGCGCCUGUUAAAAUUGCUGCAGCUUAGCUUAAGCCUCCCUGGAAGGAGAGCAGGUCUCUGUGCAGUAACAGGGGGGUCUUCCCUAAGUCCACGAGCGGAGGGAUGGUCUGGACUCGCCCCUUCUUUCCAAAGACGGCGCCAAGCCACUUAGUCGUGGUGCAGGCAAUGCGACCUGCCUGUAGUCAGGAUCUGGGUCUCUGCCUGCAUGGCUGCCUGUGCUGCUGGUGACCUGGCAGCGUGACCCCCUGUUGUCAGGGCGUGUCACAGUAUUUUCCCCUUUGUGGAAGCCGGAGAGCUUCAAUACACCGUCACCCUAAUGAGAACAAACCAGACCUUGUCAAGCCCCAGUCCCUUCCCUCUGUACCACUGACCUGGAGCCUAGUGAGAAUGCACGUACAGUUUAGAGUGAGCUACUGCGUGGGGCAUGGAAGGGCUAAAGGCAUGAAGUGGUAAGGCAUGAAGUGGUAAUGGAAGGGCUAAAGGCAUGAAGUGGUAAUGGAAGGGCUAAAGGCAUGAAGCAGAUUUGGGAUUGGAGCACUGUGUUUCCAGCUUUGACAUCAGUUUUCUGUUUUACUUCAGUGCAACUAUUUUAGUAAUUUUUUUUUUUUAUUAAUUCCUGUCCUUCACCUCCUGGGGAGUUUACUUACUGGAUGCACUUCCUGGCCUUGUGUUUGACGCAGCAAAAGAAGAUGUGGCACUGCGGACGAGCAUACCGAGGAAGCUGCUUCUGCAGGUGGAUGUAGCUGACUCAAGGGGAAAGCUGAGCAACCUUGGAUACUGAGCUCUAAUUGCCUUGGCAGAGAUCAUUUUCUGCACGAAAACAUGGGAAAUUACAGAAGCAUAACAAGACAAUUGACCUUGCUUAUGCCUGCCAAGAAUCUUCUUAUUGUCCAGUAACAAGGCUCAGGGUAUUGGGAUCGCUCACUGCGUGGCCUUGGCUCCGCAACAAUUGCACGAGUGCGGACUUGUAGAAAUGCUUUUUGUUGUGUUAAUAAAAAAAUGGAGAGG